UACGUAGGUGACAAGCGUUGUCCGGAUUUACUGGGCGUAAAGAGCGCGCAGGCGGUCGUUCAAGUCGAGUGUGAAAGCCCCCGGCUCAACUGGGGAGGGUCAUUCGAUACUGAUCGGCUUGAAGGCGGGAGAGGGAAGCGGAAUUCCUGGUGUAGCGGUGAAAUGCGCAGAUAUCAGGAAGAACACCUAUGGCGAAGGCAGCGCUCUGGGACGGUACUGACGCUGAGACGCGAAAGCGUGGGGAGCGAACAGG
rnacentral:rRNA from 1 species